AUUGGACGCUGGCGGCAUGCUUUACACAUGCAAGUCGAACGGCAGCGCGGGCUUCGGCCUGGCGGCGAGUGGCGAACGGGUGAGUAAUGCAUCGGAACGUGCCCAGUAGUGGGGGAUAGCCCGGCGAAAGCCGGAUUAAUACCGCAUACGACCUGAGGGUGAAAGCGGGGGACCGAAAGGCCUCGCGCUAUUGGAGCGGCCGAUGUCGGAUUAGCUAGUUGGUGGGGUAAAGGCUUACCAAGGCGACGAUCCGUAGCUGGUCUGAGAGGACGACCAGCCACACUGGGACUGAGACACGGCCCAGACUCCUACGGGAGGCAGCAGUGGGGAAUUUUGGACAAUGAGGGCAACCCUGAUCCAGCCAUGCCGCGUGCGGGAAGAAGGCCUUCGGGUUGUAAACCGCUUUUGUUCGGGAAGAAAUCCUCUGGGCUAAUACCCCGGGGGGAUGACGGUACCGGAAGAAUAAGCACCGGCUAACUACGUG
rnacentral:rRNA from 1 species